GGCAGGUUCAGAAGCCACUGUACAGCACACUCACCACCAACCAAAGGAGAUAGCCAUAAUCAGCUUGUGCCCUGGUGAGUCCUGGUACUUGGCAAAGAAGGAGAAAUUACACUGCUGCCCCAGUUGAGUGACACUGCAGAGCCACAAGCACAAGGGAAGUAGAGAGCCUGACAUCUAAAGAGUUCUUCUGAGUCCAAGUUUUGGGAAGCAGAAAUAACUUCAGCAUGAUCCCCAUUGCUUUCUGGUCCAUGGAAAAUGUACAGUGAAAGACUAUUACUUUUAUGAUCAUGUCAUAGGUAAGAAUUGCAAAUGCCUACCAAACAGUGAAGUAAAUAUUAAGAGAGAGAGAGAUACAACCCUUAUCUACCUAUACUGCUUCAUGCCUGGAACAUGACCAUAAACCCCUGUUACUAUGAAACUCCUGUGGCUAAUUAUGAGUAACACCAUAAUACAAAACUGUGACUUCUUUUACUAUUACUUUAUCUAUCUAAUUACAAACAGAAAAGAAAGAUAACUUAUGUUAUAUAAAAUUGCAGAAAAUUGGGCUGUUCUCAUUCUCCCCAAAUUCCAAGCAGUUAUCUUUUCAUAAUCAACUUUUUCACAGAAACAAUGUGAAGGGAAAGGCUGUUGCCAUAUCCAAUAGCACAUGGCACCAAGCUUCACUCACUGUUGGUGAGGCAUGCUGAUGGCAAGCUUUCAGUUGACCCCGAGUUUUCACUGUUUGUGCUGGCCAAGCUCAACUUUCUUGCUUUCCCUUGUGACUGAUCAGAUGCAUUUGGAGAUCCAGGACUCUCCUGAGAGAACGGUAUGUUCAAAGAGCUACUCUCAAGGAACAGACCACUGU